rnacentral:snRNA from 1 species
CUGUUGACUGGAAACUCGUUUACUAAAUCCGAAAAAAUACAGAGUAGAUUAGCGUGGUCCCUGCAGAAGGACGACAAGCAAAACUCGUGAAGCGUUUCCACAUUUUU